UUAAUUUAUUGUAAAAAAGUUUUAAUUUUUUUAUUGGUUUUACCUUUUGUAUCAUGAUUAAACUAAAAAUUUUAAUUAAUUAUUUUCUCGAAAAACAGUGAUCUUAUUUUUUGUGUAAUUAUGUGUAAUAAUAAUAAACUAGAAUUAAGGGGUGAUAUAUUAGUCGCACUGUUUGAUAACUAGAUUUUGGGUUUAAAAAAUAUUGACUAUAUUAGCUUAAAGGUUAUUAUAGUUUUUAAAAAUAAGAUAUAUUAUUUUUAGUGGGUCUAAAAGUAACCAAAUUAGUAAAGUGUCAUAACUGUUUAAUUAAAUUAGAAAUUUUUUAUAGUUCCCAACUAUUUAACUAGUGUUUUAGGUUAAUGUUUAAAUUAGUAGUUUAUUAGCAAAUUAUAAUCUCAAUUUAAGUCGAAAUGUUUAUCAAAAACAUUUCCAUACAAAUUUAUGUAUGGUAGGGCCUGCUCAAUGUUAUAAUAAAUAGCCGCAGUAUCUUGACUGUGCUAAGGUAGCAUAAUUGCUUGUCUUUUAAAUAAAGAAUUGUUUGAAUGGUUUAUUUGAUUUAAUAUGUAUUAUUUGUUUUAUAUUGAAAUUAGUUUAUGAGUAAAGAUCCUCAUAAUUUUAUAUAAGACGGAAAGACCCCGAGAACUAGUAUAAUUUAAAUUUUGUUUGGGGUAAAAUUAUUUUUUUAAUUAAAUUUUGAACCACAAUUUGUGAAUAAUGGAAAAGUUACCUCGGGGAUAACAGGGUUAGAAAUAAAGAGAGUACAAAUCGGUUUAUUUAAUUGCUACCUCGAUUUUGACUUAAAAAUACAAUAAGGCGUAGAAGCUUUAGUUGUAGGCCUGUUCGGCCUUUAAAAUUUUUCAUGAGUUGAGUUAAGACCGGCGUAAGCCAGGUUGGUUCUUAUCUAUAUUAGCUACUAUAUAGUACGAAAGGAUUUAUAGUAAUUUUUGUAACU
rnacentral:rRNA from 1 species